CAUGCAUGGAACUAGUCAGAAAAUUUCAAAUGUCAGGCUGGGAAAUUCAGCAGUGAGAGACUGCAUCUGUGAGGCCCCGCUACUGCAGCACGACAUGACAAGAAGCAUCACUUGUUGGGAGUGCUCAUGAGAGCCAGUGAGAAGGAAUUCAAAGCUAAGGAUGCCUUUAUGGAAAAGUGGGCAUGAGGAGAGACAGUGAAUGAAGACACG